CAAGUUAUCAAGUUGCACCAACCUUUUGUAAUAAGAGUAUUUUGUCUAAUCCCAAAUUGCAGUUGAAUUUUCUUAAUGCUGAGCUGGUAAAGCCUGGGAUUAGGCGGCGAGGAGAGGAGGGGGAAAAGUUUUGUCCCUUCAGCCGGCAGGAUUGGAAGCGGGGAUCUGCGGGGAUGUUGUCGGUGCUUAUUAAAACGAUGAUGCAUAAAACACAAGAGUUGGAGGAGCCCCGGCGCUGCACGCGGACUCCCGGGCUCCCUCAGGUGCCGGUGGAUGUUGUUUUAUCGGGACGGUGUCGGGGAGAAGGAGGUGAACGCGGAGGCCGAGCUGAGCACCUGUGAGGUGAGGCCAGGAGACAUGAAAGCUCAGGAGAUAAUCCAGUCAGCUGCAGGAUCCUCAGCUGCACAGCAGCACCGACACUCCGCCGCGUCUUUACGCACCGCGUCGCUCCAGAUUCACAGGAAACGCAGAAAGUGGCUCCAAAUGUUUUUCACCGCUUCCACUGGCUCCUUCAGAGAAGUGAUCCCGAGGAGGUCCCUGACCAGCGCGUCCCGUUUGUUGACCAGUAUGACCAGCUCGUCCAGCAGCAGCUGCUCUCGUCUCUUCUGGGCCUCGGUCUUCUGCCAGUCUGCAACGACACCAGAGGGACAAAGUGGGUCAGAGCCGGAGACACUGAGGACGCUCUCCUUCUUAUGUUACUGUAAAAACCUUCACACACACUUUGUCUCAUGGAGGAAAGGUUUUGUGAACACACGGUGAACUUUCAGAUGGCUGUGAGACAUUUCUGCAAAAAGCUGAAUCAGCUCAGAUCCUCUUGGAAUAGAAAUGUGAGACAUAAAUGGACGAGCUGAGCUUCUGAUCGUUCAGUGGACGAUGGACAUGAUUGUAAAAAAUAUAUCUUCUUAUUUAUCUGCUGGACUAAUCUGCAGAGACGGAGAUUAGCUUCACAUAUGGACCAGUGUGUAAAUGUGACGUGUAAACACACUCCAUCAGGUUGUGCAUGUGUGUGUGUGCACAGUGAUGAUGUGUUGACCCAAGCAAACACACUUGAAGGAUAUUGUCAUGCUAAUGUUGAGCUCAUGGAUAUAAGAAGAAUCUCACUCCCACAGGAAAACGCUGCUCGUCCAGUCCUCACUCAUCAUUUUAACAAGACAAAUGUUUGUAUGUUUACAAAAGGAAAUUCUCAUGAGUCAUAAUUUAUAUCAAAUCCCUACAGCCCUGGAAAACACGUUAUAUCACCAGGAAGUUUUUCAAAUGGUUUAAACUGCAUUUAAAGAAGUAGAAAUGUUUUCAUUCACUGUUUCCUGCUCGAUGCACAAAUUGUCUUCAUGUUUUAUAAACGUAUUAAAAACCUUAUUUUAUGAA